rnacentral:rRNA from 1 species
AGGUAAUAGUAUUUUUCUACAAAACCUAUUUAUUUUGGCGGCAAUUAACUUUAUUAGAGGAACUUGUUUAAUAAUCGAUAACCCACGAUAAUUUUCACUUAUAUUUAAAAUUUAUAUACCGCCAUCUAAAGAAUUAAUUUAUAAAAAUUAUUCUAAAUAAUUCUUAAUAAAAAGUUAGGUCAAGGUGUAAUCAAUGUUUAAGAUAAAAUGAGUUACAUUAAAAAUAAUUUAAGAAUUAUUAAAUAAUAAUUUUACAUGAAAAAGGAUUUAAAUGUAUUAAAAUAAUAAUAUUUUUUUUUGAAUAAAAUAAUAAAUGUGC